rnacentral:sRNA from 1 species
UUUGCGGCCGGCCGCACAGCUGCUGACGCGUCGGGAGGUGGAGCCUAGGGAAGCAAAUUCUCCUGGCCGCCUCAGUUCAGACGCGGCUACUGUGACCCACCUGCCUCCUCCGCAGAGCAAUGGCGGUGUCUGCCCGGUCCGCGCGGACCUCGCCCGGCUCAGAUAAAGUACAGAAAGACAAGGCUGAACUGAUCUCAGGGCCCAGGCAGGACAGCCUAAUGGGGAAACUCUUGGGUUUUGAGUGGACAGAUUUGUCCAGCUGGCGGAGGCUGGUGACCCUGCUGAAUCGACCAACGGACCCUGCAAGCCUGGCUGUCUUUCGUUUUCUUUUUGGGUUCUUGAUGGUGCUAGACAUUCCCCAGGAGCGGGGGCUCAGCUCCCUGGACCGAAAAUACCUUGAUGGGCUGGAUGUGUGCCGCUUCCCCUUGCUGGAUGCCCUACGCCCACUGCCACUUGACUGGAUGUAUCUUGUCUACACCAUCAUGUUUCUGGGUGAGGGGAACUGUGGGAAAUAUUGACUGGCCUGCCAGAAACACAGAAAUAGAAGCAUGCUGGUGAAUGGUCAAAGUCUUUGGCACCUUAUUUCACUUCUGCUGUGAUCAAUUUCAUGCUGUUGACCUGUGUGUCACUUAAGCUGUGAUCCCAUAAUUCUUUUUAAAAUAUUAAAAUAACAUUUAAUUUUCA